GUGGGGAAUAUUGGACAAUGGGCGAAAGCCUGAUCCAGCCAUGCCGCGUGUGUGAAGAAGGUCUUCGGAUUGUAAAGCACUUUAAGUUGGGAGGAAGGGCAGUAAGUUAAUACCUUGCUGUUUUGACGUUACCGACAGAAUAAGCACCGGCUAACUUCGUGCCAGCAGCCGCGGUAAUACGAAGGGUGCAAGCGUUAAUCGGAAUUACUGGGCGUAAAGCGCGCGUAGGUGGUUUUGUAAGUUGGAGGUGAAAUCCCCGGGCUCAGCCUGGGAACUGCCUCCAAAACUGCAUGACUAGAGUACGGUAGAGGGUAGUGGAAUUUCCUGUGUAGCGGUGAAAUGCGUAGAUAUAGGAAGGAACACCAGUGGCGAAGGCGACCACCUGGACUGAUACUGACACUGAGGUGCGAAAGCGUGGGGAGCAAACAGGAUUAGAAACCCCGGUAGUCC
rnacentral:rRNA from 1 species